GGAUGUGAGGGCGAUCUGGGAGCGACAUCUGUCACCCCAUUGAUCGCUAUGGUUGAUUCGGCUGAUCUGGCUGGCUAGGCGGGUGUCCCAUUUCUCCCCCCGCUCCAUAUGUAUGUCCAUCCCGAAUCCCCUCGUAUCCCCACGUAUCCCGGUGCAUCGUUGGCAUACCAGCUCCCCUGCUAGAACCUCCAAACAAGCUCAAGGCCCAUUUGUAGGGGAACCGUUGGGAAGUCAAGCUCCAAGACUUCAGAAAUAUCCAAAUGAGACGUGGCAGUCUGCCGUUCAUUUUUU
rnacentral:snRNA from 10 species